rnacentral:rRNA from 1 species
AAGGGUCCGUAAAACGGUAAAUUAAGCGAAAAUAUAAUAAUUUAAUCGAACUGAUUUACUAGAGUCUUAUAGAGGAACAGAGGAAUUGCAAGAGUAAGGAUGAAAUCUAUUGAUACUUGUAGGACCGCCAAAGGCGAAGGCAUCGUUCCAGGUAAAGACUGACGUUGAGGGACGUAGGCGUUGGGAGCGAAAAGGAUUAGAUACCCCUGUAGUCAACGCUGUAAACGAUGAGUGCUUAAGAUUAGUAAUAAUCUUAUCUUAUUCUGUCGACAGAUAGAAUAAGAUAAGAUAAAAAUAAAAAAUUAGUCUCGAAAUGAAGAUGUUAAGCACUUCACCUGGGGAGUACUGUCGCAAGGCUGAAACCCAAAACAUUAGACGGUCAUGGAAACCAGCAGUGAAGCAUGUUAUUUAAUACGAUGAUCCGCGUACAACCUUACCACUUCUUGAAUGUCCUUUCUCUUAAAAAGGAAAGGCCUAUUUAAUUUGGAUAAAUACAACUAAAAUUAAAUUUGGAUAAAUACAACAUUUAAUAAAAAUUAUUAUUAAAUUAGUAUAAUCCUAUUAAUUUUGGAUAAAUAUAACUAAAAUUAAAUUUGGAUAAAUACAACAGGCGUUGCAUGGCUGUCUUCAGUUCGUGUCGUGAGAUGUCAGGUUCAUUCCAAUAAACGAAUGAAACCCUUUUUUCUUAAUUUUUAAUUUCUUUUAAGUUUCUUAAUUGAAUUCAUUAAGAUGACCCUUGGAAAACGAGGAUAUAAUGGGGAUUAAGACAAGUCGUCAUGGCCUUUAUGAAGUGGGCUAUAGACGUGCCACAAGAGCUUUUACAAUGGGAUGCUAAGACGUGAGUCAGCGCUAAACCUUAAAAAAAGCUAUGUUCGGAUUGUAGUCUGCAACUCGACUACAUGAAGUAGGAAUUGCUAGUAAUCGUAA